rnacentral:lncRNA from 1 species
UUUUCAGAGGUGACAUCAACGAGAGUCAAAGUCAUCAACCCUCAGAUUAGAGCAGAUUAAGAUCCUCAUUCCUCUGAUUUAGGAUCAUCUAGACCUGACAUCUGUGAGAGACCACGGCUCAGCUGGGAACACUAGAGAAGAUCACCUUAGUGGGAGAGAGAGAGAGAGAGGGGGGGGGGGGCAGAGAGAGAGGGAGAGAGAGAGAGAGAGAGAGGGAGAGAGAGAGAGAGAGAGAGAGAGGGGGGGGCAGAGAGAGAGGGAGAGAGAGAGAGAGAGAGAGGGGGGGGGGCAGAGAGAGAGGGAGAGAGAGAGAGAGAGAGAGAGAGAGAGAGAGAGAGAGAGAGAGAGGGGGGGCAAAGAGAGAGGAGAGAGAGAGAGAGAGAGAGAGAGAGAGAGAGAGGGGGGGGCAGAGAGAGAGGGAGAGAGAGAGAGAGAGAGAGGGAGAGAGAGGGAGAGAGAGAGAGAGAGAGAGAGAGGGAGAGAGAGAGAGGGAGGGGGGGCAGAGAGAGAGGGAGAGAGGGAGAGAGGGGGAGAGAGAGAGGGGGAGAGGGAGGGAGAGAAAGAGAGAGAGAGGAAAGGGAGAGAGAGAGAAGAGAGAGAGAAAGAGAGAGGGAGAGGGAGAGAGAGAGAGAGGAAAGGAAGAGAGAGAGAGAGAAGGAGAGAGAGAGAGAGAGAGAGGGCGAGAGAGGGAGAGAGAGAGAAGAGAGAGAGAGAGAGGGAGAGAGAGAGGGAGUGUGUGUGUGUGCAUGUGUAUCUUGCAGUACUCUGAGGUGAAUUUUGAGGAUUCAUCUGAGAGUCUGGAGGGCUGAUUAUUCCCUUACAGAUGGACCCUUUAGAUGAAAAUCAAAAAUCCCAGGUCAUAAGGGCUCUGUUGAUGUUUUUUUUCCUCAUUCAUAUUCAAACCACUAUUUUAUAUCACUGCUAAUAGACCAAGGCCAUCUUAUGGUGUUUAGCUUUGUUAUUUCUAUGCAUUUUGCGAGGUAAGAAACCCAGGCCUUCACUGAAAUUUCCCCAAAACUUUAUGUAAGGGCCUCUGGUUGUUAAAGGGGGUCAUUACACCUAAAACAUAUUUUCCCUAAAUAUUGAAGAUAAAAGCUUAGAUCUAUUAGGUAUAAAUAGAAAAAAAAAUUGAAAUAUGUUAGGAUUAUAGCGUAUGACAAAUAUGUGGUUAUAAUGGGAGUCAAUUGGCCACAUGUGGCCACAAGGGUAACAGGUGUCGGUGUGAUGCAGAUCUCCUAUUCUAAACACUUCCAGUACACAGGUUUUUGGAAUUAAGGAAAUAAAAAUGAAAAAAAAUAGUGCCAAAAUUUCAUACAGCUAGCCUUUAAACUGACCGGGUUACUGAGAGAAGAACAAAAAAAACACCCAAAAUGACCACUUUCGUCGCCAAGAUGCUCCGAGGGUUAACUAUGUGAGGACAUCAGGAUAAAACAGUGGAAGUGUUUCUGCUCGAUGAGGUUUCUAUGAGGUCAAUAAAUGUUGGUUCAGUUGAUCUUCAGGACGGCUGCAGCUUUAAGAACUUCUGAUUGUUUUAGUUUGAGGGUCUAAAGAUCACAGAGAUGCUCCUCUUCCUUGACUGUAGAUAAACUGCCCCCCCCCCCCCCGUCUCUCACACAGCUCACUCCAUUCUGCACUCUCACUUCCUUCCUCCCUCCCCCCCUCAGAUCUACAGUCUAAGGUUGGGUAUAACCUCCGUGUGCUGAGGUCAUAUCCUGUUGACUCACACAUGUUGUUGAGAUCAGAGCUCAGACUAGUUUCACUUCUCAGGAAAUAAAACUCAGUCAGUCGUCGUCGACAGCGAGUGUUGAAAUGGCGCAGAAAGGAGUUCAUCUGGACCGUGAGUCUUUCUCUUGUUCCAUCUGUUUGGAUCUUCUGAAGGAUCCGGUGACUGUUUCCUGUGGACACAGCUUCUGCAUGAGCUGUAUUCAAUCCCACUGGGAUAAUGAGGAUGAGAAGAUGAUCUACAGCUGUCCUCAGUGUAGAGAGACUUUCAGACCGAGGCCUGUCCUGAAGAAAAACACCAUGUUAGCAGGUUUAGUGGAGGAAGUGAAGAAGAGCGGACUCCAAGCUGCUCCUGAUGGUUCCUCUGAGGCUGGACCUGAAGAUGUGGCCUGUGAUUCCUGCAGUGGGAGAAAACGGAAAUCUGUCAAGUCCUGUCUGCGAUGUCUGGCUUCUUACUGUCAGAUUCACCUCCAGCCUCAUUAUGAAGUUACUCCAUUAAAGAAACACAAGCUGGUGGAGCCCUCCAAGAAGCUGGAGGAGAGUCGAGAAAACAUCCAGCAGAGAAUCCAGGACAGAGAAGAAGAUGUGAAGCUGCUCCAACAGGAGGUGGAGGCUAUCAACGGCUCUGCUGAUAAAGCUGUGGAGCACAGCCAGGAGAUCUUCACCAAGCUGAUCCGUCUGAUGGAGAAACGCCGCUCUGACGUGGAGCAGCAGGUCAGAUCCCAGCAGGAACGUGAAGUGAGUCGAGUCAAAGAACUUCAGGAGAAACUGGAGCAGGAGAUCACUGAGCUGAAGAGGAAAGACGCUGAUCUGCAGAAGCUCUCACUCACAGAGGACCACAACCAGUUUCUGCACAGCUACCCCUCACUGUCAGAACCGGGUCAACCUGCAGACUCAUCCAGGAUCAACAUCCGUCCUCUGAGAUACUUUGAGGAGGUGACAGCAGCUGUGUCAGAGCUCAGAGAGAAACUCCAGGAUCUUCUGACAGAGACGUGGACAAACGUCUCACAGGCAGUGACUGAUGUGGAUGUUUUACUGUUAGAACCAGAACCAGGACCAGCAGAACCCAAGACCAGAGCUGGUUUCUUAAGAUAUUCACAAAGAAUCACACUGGAUCCAAACACAGUAAACAGACGACUGAAAUUAUCUGAUGGAAACAGAAGAGCAACAUUUACAAAACGACUACAGUCUUAUCCUGAUCAUCCAGACAGAUUCACUUAUUAUUAUGUUCAGGUCCUGAGUAGAGAGAGUCUGACUGGACGUUGUUACUGGGAGGUGGACUGGAGAGGGGGCGGGGUUAGUGUAGCAGUCGCAUACAAGACUAUCAGGAGAGAAAGGGGGUUAGAAAAAAGUUUCUUUGGAAACAAUAACAAAUCUUGGACGUUAGUCUGUUCUAAAGACAGGUAUGGAUUUAUUCACAACAGAGUCUUCACUCGUGUCUCAGUUCCUCCGUCCUCCAGAGUAGGAGUGUACCUGGAUCACAGAGCAGGUAUUCUGUCCUUCUACAGCGUCUCUGAAACCAUGACUCUCCUCCACAGAGUCCAGACCACAUUCACUGAACCUCUACAUGCUGGACUGAUGUUAGGCUGCAGUGAUGGAGACUCUGCUGAGUUUAUAGAAGUGAAGUAAAGAGAAUUUUGAGUCCAUCAGACCAAAAUCAUGGACUGAGAUCCUUGAACUCUUGAAAUGUUCUGGUUUGUAAAUGUUUGUGGAUCAGUCUCACCAAAAACUCUGGGUUUAGUUCUUCAUUUCAGCUUUUUGAUUCUUUUCUAAAGAUGCUGAUUUGGUCGCAGCUUUAAGGACAGUGAUUGUGGAGAACUUUGAUUGUUUGUAUUUCUCAUGUUGAAAAAUCUUCAUCAAGUUUGAUAUCAACAACAUCAAGAUGAUGGUUUGUUCAAAUCACCUUCAGUUGGUGCAGAUGUUGAAGGUCUGAGACUUUAGAAAAAAGUGAGGUCAAAAUCACAGAAAAAGGACGACCUUAUUUCCUGUCCCAAAUCCAAGCGUCUAAAGUCUUUCCAGUCGUCCCCAAAAACUCUUCAGAUGAUCUGUUUCUUUCUCUGUUUGCUGAAUAUUUGUGUUCAUGUGAUCGAUGGAUAUUUCUGUCUGCUUCUGUUGGAUCAGUGUGUUUGUAAAGACAUCUAGAAUCAGACUUUGGACAGAUCUACAUGUUGUUAUGAGCUUUUCAAUCACUCUAAUAAUAAUAAUCACAUUUAUUAGUCCGACUGUUUGGAUGUUUCUGACUCAGCUCUGAUUGUGGGUAAAAAAAUCAUAAAAAUCCUCAAACUGAGUCACUGAAAUCACCUCGUCUGUUUGUCUUUAUUGUGUCUGUUUCUGCUGGAUGUCAUGUUACCGCUCCGUCUGGGUCAUGGAUCCAUGUGGUCUUACAUGUCUACACCACCUUUAAAAAUUGAACAAAUAUAUUUAUUGAUCUCGUUUGAUACAUUAGAUGUUUUUGGAAACUUAUAAACUACAAGAGGACGUUUUUAUCAUCUAUCAGACUGUAUUCAGGUGUUUUUUUAGUCAUUUGUUGAUCAUAUUGAUUUGAUGGAAGUUUAUAAAAUUAUGUGUCGAAUAUGAUACAAAAGGCGAUAAAAGGAUUUCAGUCGUUAAAUCAGGAUUUAUAAUCCUGACUGAUCUCUGAAUGAAUAUUUAGGAUAAAUCAGUAUUUUCAGUCUGUUCAUCAAUAUUUCAGCCUGUUUUGUUUGCAGUUUUUUUAUCCCUGUUUUCUUCACGUUCAUCAACAACAACAACAACAAAAAAAAUCAUCCUCCACACGACAUGAUCCGAGUUUAUCUGAAGAGAGCGACAGGUGAGAGGGUUUAUCCACACCUGAGGAAUUAACCACCUCUGAGCUCAGAUCCAUCUCUGAGGAUGUGUGUGUGUGUGUGUGUGUGUGUGUGUUCAGGGUUGAAGGAUGAGUUCACAGCUCGUGUUUGUGUGUCUAAACUGACUCACAUCUCUACAGCAGCUUCUUCUUCUUCUUUCUGAUGUUGACAGUUUGAGCGAGCGGCUCGUCUGCAGGGAUCCUCCUGAAGAAGAAAAGAGGUUAAAAAAAAAACACAAAGAAUUGAGGAAACAGCAGAUAAAAAGUGAAGAAACAAGAAGCUAAAAUGUAAAACACAGAUCAGACCGAGGAGCAGAGAGUUAUCUCUGCAGGAGCCUCACCUCAGGAGAUCCAGCGUGUGAGGAGGAGGAGGAGGAGGAGGAGGAGAUCAGGAGCUUCCUCUCAGAUCAAACUCCAGGGAAAGGUGUAAAUGUUUGAGGCGGAUUUAUUAAUCAGUCUGCAGACGGAGAGUUUCAUCUGUGGAGAUAUUUUUACUCGACAUGAAACAGGGUUUGGACCAACAGGAAGACCUGGAUCUGUCACAGCAGGAGCAGAGAAAUACGAGUUCAGAGGAACAUCAGAGAGUCGGGGACUAACGUGGAGGUCAUUUACGGGAUUAUCAUCAGACAACAACAAGAACACAGAGGAAAUAUACUGAGAAAACAACAUUAAAAUGAGAGACGGUUAUUACCAGAAUACAGUUAAAGGUCCAUGAGAUUAUAAUCUGAAAUUUACAGAAUCGACUGAAAACAAUUAAGAAAAUACAACAGAUUAAAAAAAACAUUUAUUUAAUGAGAAUAUUAUUAUAAAUUGAACACAGAAAAGAGUCACAAGAAUUUACUUCAAGAUUUAUGAGAUUAAAGUCGUAAAUUUAGCAGAUUUACCCCCAAAAUUAUGAGUUUUAUAAUCCAUGAUAGAGGUCUGAAAUUCACGACACUGAGAUUAAAAAUGUACAAGACGUGUUAAUAUACGAGUGAAGAUCCAAAAUCUAUGAGAAUGAAGCUGUAAUAUUAAAAAUUAAAAAGUUAUUAAUCAAUAAGAUUUAUGAGGUAAAUUAGAUUAAAUUAGAUUUACAAGAUUAAAGUUCUUAUUCAAAAAUUCACACAAAAAAUAUGAUAAAGUUAUUAUUUUAAGAGAUGUAAAUUUAUGGUGUUAAUAUCACAAAUCUAAACAAUCAAAGUUAAAAAAGUCAAGACUAAAAUAUGAAUAUUAAAAACUGAUGAGAAGAAAGUCUCAUCUCCAGAGUAGAGUUUUAAUCUCGGAGAUUAGAGUGGUUCAUUUUUGAGACUGACGUCUUUAAUCUACAGCUCUAGUCUCGUUCGUUAUAAUGAGAAUAAAGUUUUUAAUUCAUGAGAUUAAAUCAGAAAAUCUAUGAGAACAAAACUGAGAAAAUUCUGAAUCUAUGAGAUUAAAGUCGUAAAUUUACGAUGAUGGUGACGAGAUACGUGAAGUCAACAGGAAGUGUUCUAUUCACACAGACUCCAGCUGUCACCAUCUUCAUCAUCUUCAUCAUCCAGAGCAAAAUCCAGGUACCAACAGGUGAGGGCAGAAGUGGACAAGAGGAGAGGGAGCAAGGAUAGAGGGUUAGGAUACAAGGAGAGGAUUAGAGGAGGCAAAGUGAUAAAAACUAUGAAGGAAACAAGAGGAAAGGAGAACAGAAGGAGUUAAGGAAAGGAAACUAAGAAAGGAAAUAAACCAAAGGAAGACUAGAGCCAUUUCCCUGCUCCCUAGACUUGCAUCCUUGUAUCCUUCACUAGUGUCUUAUUCCCUCCCACCAGAGAUGUAUGAAGAGAGGAGAGAGGGAACGAGGAAAGAAGGGUGAGAUGACGGCAUCAGCUGAUCAGUCAGCUGUCAGGGAGUGAAGGAACAACUCUGGCGGUUAAAGGAGACUUCAGGAGGAGAGAGGAGACUAGGAGAGGAAAUAAGAGAAGGAGAGGAGGAAAUGAGAAGAUGGGAGUAAAAGCAGCCGAGACGAGGAAGGAGGGGGCGAGUCGAGGAAAGGAGCAGAGGAGGUAAGGAGUUAAAAGGGAAGACGACGCUCUCCUGUUUUCUUCACGUCUCCACUCCUGCUGAUCUCAGAGUUUCAGAGAUGUUCGCCUCCUUCUGAACUCAAACUAUCAGAGAUUCAUCAGGACACAGAGAGAGGACAUGUCCACGAGUCCGCCUCACUAAUGAGCAAUCACAAACGAACCAAAGGUUAGGACAUAAUCCAGACUGGAGCUCCAGAUGAAGCUGUCAGAGAGGAUUAUAUCUGAAAUAAUCCUCACAUGCUGGUUCAUGGAGGGCAGCGUUUGUUCUGUGACUCUCCAUCCCUGCAGAGGAGGAGGAGGAGGCAGGUGGGUGCAGUAACAGACUUCUGACAGGUGGAGGUGCUGCAGGCUAACAGGCGGACACAGGCGGCUGUUCCAGCUCCACUAACACAAAUUCAAAUUCAACUUUAUUUAUACGGAACUUUUCAGGACCCACACACACACACACACAAAGACACACACCCACCCUCAGUCAGUCACUCACUCACCCACACAUACACACACACAAACACACACAGAGUGAGAAUUUUAGAUAUAUAGUUAAAGAGAGAUGACCCGGCACCGAGACAUGAGUGAGGAAGGAGCGACCUUUAGGAAACAUGGAGAUAAAAGAUUAAAAAUAAAAUGUUAAAAAGAAAAAGUAAAACCCGAUGGACGAAAACAAGAAAAUAAAAUAAAUUAAUUAAUUAAAAAUAGUUAAAAUGAAGACUAAAAUCUGAUGGAGUAAAACAAUAAAAUAAAAUAAAAAUUAAUUAAAAAUAGUUAAAAGAAAGACUAAAAUCUGAUGGACUUAAACAAUAAAAUAAAAUAAAUUUAAUUAAAAAUAGUUCAAAGGAAGAGUAAAACCUGAUGGACUAAAAUAAUAAAAUAAUAUUAAAUGAACAGAUAAGUAAGAGCGCUUUACCAUGUAAAAGGGGUAAAAGAAGUAAAAACCUCUAUGAUGGGAAUUAAAAAAAGACUAAGAACAGAGAUAAUUAAUAAAAUGACAUUAAAGAAAAAAUUAAGAAUUUUGAUUAAAAUGAACAUUUGCAAUAAGAGAAAUAUAAAAAGGUAGUUAGAGAAAAGUCCUGGUUAAAAAAGUGAGUCUGGAGCCUCUUCUUAAAAACAUCAACAGUCUCUGUGGUCCUGAGGAUCUCCAUCAGGCUGUUCCACAACCGGGGACCAGAGAAACUGAGCGCCGCCUCCCUCCCCGUGUGUUUUUGUUUUAACUUUGGGUUCAAAGGUUAAAAGGUCGUGAGGCUUUAUAUGAUAAAAGUAAGUCAGAUAAAUAAGAGGAGCCAAGACCAUUAAUACAUCUAAAAACUAAUAAAAGAAGAACCUGAAAAUCAAUCCUGAAACAGACGGGGAGCCAACGCAGCGACGCUAAAACUCGCCCUCUGACCCUCGUCAGAACUCUUACAGCUGAAUUCUGUAAAACCUGAAGUGUCUGUAAGUUCUUUUUUGGGAGGCCAGAGAGCAGGGCGUUACAAUAAUCUCAACGAGAGGAGACAAAAACAUCAGCAGCUCCGUGAAGAAGAAGAAAAGUCUGCUCAAGAUUUCCUGUUUUCUAACGAAACUACAGAUGGAGACUCAGUCACAUCCUGCUGCAGAGGAACUGACCAAAGCAUCCUGACCUACACACAGACCUGAACCCAGACCUGAACCCAGACCUGAACCCAGACCUGAGCCCUGACCUGAACCCAGACCUGAACCCAGACCUGAACCCAGACCUGAACCCUGACCCUGAAUCUGACCUGCUGUAAUAUGAACGG